GCGGCCUAUCAGCUUGUUGGUGGGGUGAUGGCCUACCAAGGCGACGACGGGUAGCCGGCCUGAGAGGGUGUCCGGCCACACUGGGACUGAGAUACGGUCCAGACUCCUACGGGAGGCAGCAGUGGGGAAUAUUGCACAAUGGGCGCAAGCCUGAUGCAGCGACGCCGCGUGGGGGAUGACGGCCUUCGGGUUGUAAACCUCUUUCACCAUCGGCGAAGCCGGGAGCUUUUGUUUCUGGUGACGGUAGGUGGAGAAGAAGCACCGGCCAACUACGUGCCAGCAGCCGCGGUAAUACGUAGGGUGCGAGCGUUGUCCGGAAUUACUGGGCGUAAAGAGCUCGUAGGUGGUUUGUCGCGUUGUCCGUGAAAUUCCCUGGCUUAACUGGGGGCGUGCGGGCGAUACGGGCAGACUGGAGUACUGCAGGGGAGACUGGAAUUCCUGGUGUAGCGGUGGAAUGCGCAGAUAUCAGGAGGAACACCGGUGGCGAAGGCGGGUCUCUGGGCAGUAACUGACGCUGAGGAGCGAAAGCGUGGGGAGCGAACAGGAUUAGAUACCCUGGUAGUCCACGCCGUAAACGGUGGGUACUAGGUGUGGGUUUCCUUCCUUGGGAUCCGUGCCGUAGCUAACGCAUUAAGUACCCCGCCUGGGGAGUACGG
rnacentral:rRNA from 1 species